CUCGGGGGGGGGGGGCAAUCCCUCAGCCUGAAUUGCGAGAGGGCGCAGGCCAGGCCGAGGGACCCCACUGGUGCACG
rfam:Myotis lucifugus cont2.61225, whole genome shotgun sequence.